rnacentral:rRNA from 1 species
CAGCAGCCGCGGAAAUACAGAGGGUGCGAGCGUUAAUCGGAUUUACUGGGCGUAAAGCGUGCGUAGGCGGCUUUUUAAGUCGGAUGUGAAAUCCCUGAGCUUAACUUAGGAAUUGCAUUCGAUACUGGGAAGCUAGAGUAUGGGAGAGGAUGGUAGAAUUCCAGGUGUAGCGGUGAAAUGCGUAGAGAUCUGGAGGAAUACCGAUGGCGAAGGCAGCCAUCUGGCCUAAUACUGACGCUGAGGUACGAAAGCAUGGGGAGCAAACAGGAUUAGAUACCCGAGUAGUCCCUGUCUCUUAUAC